rnacentral:lncRNA from 1 species
UGGUCCUUCUCUUUUUUGAGUUGUACACCAUCAUAGAACGACAAGUGUUCGGGAUGUGAGCUUAUGGUAGCAAUUAUUAUCCUAACUAGUUUAUAAUACGUAGUUAUAAAAUUAAAUAAAUUUUUAUAUUGAAAAAUCAAAAUUAUUAAUCAAUAUUUUAAAUAACUAUUACUUAAGGGAUAUUUUUUUAGUUAUAUAAAUUUUUUAUCGUUGAUUUAAAUAAUUACGUAAAGUUAUAUUACCUUAUAAUAUGUAUUAAUUUUAUUUUAUUUUUUAAUUUAAUGUUAUUAAUUUAAUAUAAGUAGAGUGAGAAAAUUUGAAAUUUGAAAUUUAAAAUAGAGAAUCAAUUAUUAAUUUAAUUUAAUUAGAGUGAGCAAUUUAAAAUUUGAGAUUUAAAAUGGAUAAUUAAUAUGUUGACAAGUGGGAUAAUAGUUGUCAAUUAAUAUUAAUGAGGAGUUAUAAUACUAUGACACUUGUCAAUAAGAGAAUAAAACUAUUUUUUUAUUAGAAUAGGGAGAUGUACGUUUUGAGAAACUAAAACGGGUUGCUUUAUUUUAAAUAAAUAGGGUAUUUUUUACUCCAUGGUUGCAAUCAUCUCUAUUCAGGUCUAUGGAAGUGUUUUCCUCACCCCCACAUCGAUGGUUGAUCUGAUCCGUGGUUUGCCCCAACAUAUGAUUUUAUUGGUUCAUCAAGGUCGGUCAUCGAGGUGAUAGUUCUUGCAGAGAGCCUUGAGGGGAAUAGUUCAGUCCUUUUCCUUUUUAGGGAAGAUCUACUAAGGCAGGGGUUAUGUUCUUCUGGUGUACUGUUUGGGAUUGGGCUAUGAGGUCUAUUAGAAAAAAGGGCCCAAAACAGCCGGUCAACACUAAAUAAAUAUUGUUCCAUCAAUUCUUAAUUUCUUUUUGCAAAUAAUAAAUAUGUAAUAGUAGGUUGAUUGUAAACCCCGGUAAUUUGUUGAAAUCAAUGAAAAUAAUUUAAUGAACCGACAUACCACUUUAAAUAGAGUACCAACAACUAGUAUUUAUCCGGUAAAUAAAUAUUAUUCCAUCAAUUCGUAAUUUCUUUUUGCGAAUAACAAAAAUUUAGGAAGUCGUUGCCCACCAGGUCAUUCGAUUCCUUAUGCUCCCAUUUUUUUAGUGUGAUAUCCGAUUAUCAAUAAUUAGAGGAAUGGCUGCGUGUUGUGCAGAAACACUUAUAUAGAUGAAAUCUUUACAAACAUAUGUUUUCUUAAAUAUAACAAUGACUUUGUUUUUAAAUUUUAUAAUUAUUGUUAUACUAAGUUGAUGUAAUAUAUUUAUUAUUUUGAAUUACAUGAUAAUAUAUACAUCUAUUAAAAUUGCAUAAUCUUAAUCGUUUAAAUGACAUCUACUUGUGGGUUAGUUAUGAAUAAAAUUAAAUAUGAUAUAUGGUUUAAUGUUAUUUAUAGUUGUUAUUAUGGUUAAGUAAUUUUUAAAAUUUAUUUAUUAACAUUUUAAUUUUUAUCAUUGUAAUUAUUUAAAACAUCAAACAUUGUUUUUGUUUUUUAAAGGUAACAAUAUAACCAUUUAUAUAGUAUUAUUUUUACUAUUGUUAUUGUAAGUUAUUUAUUUAAAAACUAUUAAUGACUAUAAAAUUAUCUUUAGGAAAUAUUUUAGUGAGUUUGAGAUUACCAUUUACUUUUUGCAUUUAGCACUAUAUUUUAUCACUUUUAACUAUUUACAAAAUAUUUUUUAGGUUUUUGUAAGUUGAACUAAAAUUUAUAUUUAAGUUGACUUGUAAUAUUAUAUUUAAAUUAACAAUUUAAGUAUUUUAUCANUAAAUUUUUUAUCGUUGAUUUAAAUAAUUACGUAAAGUUAUAUUACCUUAUAAUAUGUAUUAAUUUUAUUUUAUUUUUUAAUUUAAUGUUAUUAAUUUAAUAUAAGUAGAGUGAGAAAAUUUGAAAUUUGAAAUUUAAAAUAGAGAAUCAAUUAUUAAUUUAAUUUAAUUAGAGUGAGCAAUUUAAAAUUUGAGAUUUAAAAUGGAUAAUUAAUAUGUUGACAAGUGGGAUAAUAGUUGUCAAUUAAUAUUAAUGAGGAGUUAUAAUACUAUGACACUUGUCAAUAAGAGAAUAAAACUAUUUUUUUAUUAGAAUAGGGAGAUGUACGUUUUGAGAAACUAAAACGGGUUGCUUUAUUUUAAAUAAAUAGGGUAUUUUUUACUCCAUGGUUGCAAUCAUCUCUAUUCAGGUCUAUGGAAGUGUUUUCCUCACCCCCACAUCGAUGGUUGAUCUGAUCCGUGGUUUGCCCCAACAUAUGAUUUUAUUGGUUCAUCAAGGUCGGUCAUCGAGGUGAUAGUUCUUGCAGAGAGCCUUGAGGGGAAUAGUUCAGUCCUUUUCCUUUUUAGGGAAGAUCUACUAAGGCAGGGGUUAUGUUCUUCUGGUGUACUGUUUGGGAUUGGGCUAUGAGGUCUAUUAGAAAAAAGGGCCCAAAACAGCCGGUCAACACUAAAUAAAUAUUGUU